UACGGGGGGGGCAAGCGUUGUUCGGAAUUACUGGGCGUAAAGGGCUCGUAGGUGGCCAACUAAGUCGGACGUGAAAUCCCUCGGCUUAACCGGGGAACUGCGUCCGAUACUGGUUGGCUUGAGUUUGGGAGAGGGAUGCGGAAUUCCUGGUGUAGCGGUGAAAUGCGCAGAUAUCAGGAGGAACACCGGUGGCGAAGGCGGAUCUCUGGGCCGAUACUGACGCUGAGGAGCGAAAGCGUGGGGAGCGAACAGG
rnacentral:rRNA from 1 species